rnacentral:rRNA from 1 species
CGCUGGCGGCGCACAUAAGACAUGCAAGUCGAACGGAAGUCGUUAUAAAAAGGAUUGAAGAUUUAUCUGAUUGAGAUUUUAUAACAAUGGCUUUAGUGGCGGACUGGUGAGUAACGCGUAAGCAAUCUGCCUGUUAGAGGGGAAUAACAAUGAGAAAUCAUUGCUAAUACCGCAUAUGCCAUAGUUAUCACAUGAUAAUAGUGGGAAAGGAGCAAUUCGCUAACAGAUGAGCUUGCGUCUGAUUAGAUAGUUGGUAGGGUAACGGCCCACCAAGUCGAUGAUCAGUAGCCGAACUGAGAGGUUGAUCGGCCACAUUGGGACUGAGAUACGGCCCAGACUCCUACGGGAGGCAGCAGUCGGGAAUAUUGCGCAAUGGAGGAAACUCUGACGCAGUGACGCCGCGUAUAGGAAGAAGGUUUUCGGAUUGUAAACUAUUGUCGUUAGGGAAGAAAAGGACAGUACCUAAGGAGGAAGCUCCGGCUAACUACGUG